rnacentral:rRNA from 1 species
AUGGCAAAGAGGGAGGCAUGGCGCCUCAGCUCCGCCACCGACGACAGCCUCGACGGCUGCAGCAUGCGCAGUGCCGACAGGGUCAAGGUGCGGCAGUAUGGGAAGACGUGCAAGAAGCUCACUGGCAUGUUCAUGACACAGGAGUUGGCCACGCACUCUGGCUCUGUAUGGUGCAUUAACUUCAGCUUGGCUGGACGGUACCUUGCGAGCGCCGGCGAGGACCGUGUGAUCCAUGUCUGGGAGGUCUCCGAGGGUGAGAGAAAGGGGGAGCUGCUCGGGGAAGGUGCGGUUUCAAAGGAGAGUGGUGGCGGAGGCAGCCCGUUUGUGGCAGUUGCUGGAAAUGGAUCGUGGUGGUGGCAAUGUCGCCGCUCAGCAGUGCAGACAAGGGAUAUGUGGAGAAGAAGAGGAGGCCACGGGUGCAGAGCAGCAGCAAGUCUGUCGGUUCUGAUCAUCUGGUUGUGCCCGAGACCCCGAGUGCGUGUUUGGGUUCAGAGAUAA